AGAGUUUGAUUCUGGCUCAGGACGAACGCUGGCGGCGUGCCUAAUACAUGCAAGUCGAGCGAGCUUGCCUAGAUGAUUUUAGUGCUUGCACUAAAUGAAACUAGAUACAAGCGAGCGGCGGACGGGUGAGUAACACGUGGGUAACCUGCCCAAGAGACUGGGAUAACACCUGGAAACAGAUGCUAAUACCGGAUAACAACACUAGACGCAUGUCUAGAGUUUGAAAGAUGGUUCUGCUAUCACUCUUGGAUGGACCUGCGGUGCAUUAGCUAGUUGGUAAGGUAACGGCUUACCAAGGCAAUGAUGCAUAGCCGAGUUGAGAGACUGAUCGGCCACAUUGGGACUGAGACACGGCCCAAACUCCUACGGGAGGCAGCAGUAGGGAAUCUUCCACAAUGGACGAAAGUCUGAUGGAGCAACGCCGCGUGAGUGAAGAAGGGUUUCGGCUCGUAAAGCUCUGUUGGUAGUGAAGAAAGAUAGAGGUAGUAACUGGCCUUUAUUUGACGGUAAUUACUUAGAAAGUCACGGCUAACUACGUGCCAGCAGCCGCGGUAAUACGUAGGUGGCAAGCGUUGUCCGGAUUUAUUGGGCGUAAAGCGAGUGCAGGCGGUUCAAUAAGUCUGAUGUGAAAGCCUU
rnacentral:rRNA from 1 species